rnacentral:rRNA from 1 species
ACGUGAGCAAUCUGCCCUUCACACGGGGAUAACUCCGGGAAACCGGUGCUAAUACCCGAUACGACCACUUCAGGCAUCUGAUGGUGGUGGAAAGUUCCGGCGGUGAAGGAUGAGCUCGCGGCCUAUCAGCUUGUUGGUGGGUAAUGGCCCACCAAGGCAACGACGGGUAGCCGGCCUGAGAGGGUGACCGGCCACACUGGGACUGAGACACGGCCCAGACUCCUACGGGAGGCAGCAGUGGGGAAUAUUGGACAAUGGGCGAAAGCCUGAUCCAGCAACGCCGCGUGAGGGAUGACGGCC